GGUUUAUCUGGGGGUGGGUAACACCCUCCCGGAAAACUCCACCCUUGUAUAUUAUUACUUGUUGCUUUGGUGGGCCGCGAGAUUGCCUAGCGAUUGAGCACCGGCUUCGGCUGGAGAGCGCCUGCCAGAGGACCAAACUCUGUCAUUUAUGUCGUCUGAUUACUAUUUAAUAGUUAAAACUUUCAACAACGGAUCUCUUGGUUCUGGCAUCGAUGAAGAACGCAGCGAAAUGCGAUAAGUAAUGUGAAUUGCAGAAUUCAGUGAAUCAUCGAAUCUUUGAACGCACAUUGCGCCCCUUGGUAUUCCGAGGGGCAUGCCUGUUCGAGCGUCAUAUGACCAAUCACGCCCUGUGCGUGGACUUGGGGUUCGCGAUUCAGCGUCCCUUAAAAUCAGUGGCGGUGCCGUUGGGCUCUAAGCGUAGUAAUUCUUCUCGCUACAGGGUCUCGCGGUUGCUUGCCAUAACCCCAACUUUCUUAGGUUGACCUCGCAUCAGGUAGGGAUACCCGCUGAACUUAAGCAUAUCAAUAAGC
rnacentral:rRNA from 1 species